GAUGAACGCUGGCGGCGUGCCUAAUACAUGCAAGUCGAGCGAACGGACGAGAAGCUUGCUUCUCUGAUGUUAGCGGCGGAAGGGUGAGUAACACGUGGAUAACCUACCUAUAAGACUGGGAUAACUUCGGGAAACCGUAGCUAAUACCGGAUAAUAUUUUGAACCGCAUGGUUCAAAAGUGAAAGACGGUCUUGCUGUCACUUAUAGAUGGAUCCGCGCUGGAUUAGCUAGUUGGUAAGGUAACGGCUUACCAAGGCAACGAUGCAUAGCCGGCCUGAGAGGGUGAUCAGCCACACUGGAACUGAGACACGGUCCAGACUCCUACGGGAGGCAGCAGUAGGGAAUCUUGCGCAAUGGGCGAAAGCCUGACGGAGCAACGCCGCGUGAGUGAUGAAGGUCUUCGGAUCGUAAAACUCUGUUAUUAGGGAAGAACAUAUGUGUAAGUAACUGUGCACAUCUUGACGGUACCUAAACAGAAAGCCACGGCUAACUACGUG
rnacentral:rRNA from 1 species